GCCCCUAUAGCUCAAGUGGAUAGAGCACCGCACUCCUAACGCGGAUAUCUCCGUUCGACUCGGAGUAGGGGUA
rnacentral:tRNA from 1 species